GACGUAGGAGGCGAGCGUUGUCCGGAUUCAUUGGGCGUAAAGAGCACGCAGGCGGUUUGGCAAGUCGGAUGUGAAAACCCGGAGCUCAACUCCGGACCUGCAUCCGAAACUGCCCGACUAGAGGUAGGUAGGGGAGAUCGGAAUUCCUGGUGUAGCGGUGAAAUGUGCAGAUAUCAGGAGGAACACCGGUGGCGAAGGCGGAUCUCUGGGCCUUACCUGACGCUCAGGUGCGAAAGCUAGGGGAGCGAACAGG
rnacentral:rRNA from 1 species